rnacentral:lncRNA from 1 species
GAAAUUUAACAAUCUUCCUAUUGUGUUCUGCUAAAAUAUCACUUAUUUUUCCUUUAAAUUUUUAUUUUUUUGUAAAAUAUAUUGCAUUCAGACCCUUAGCCAGGUCUCUGAGGGGUAUUUGGGUUCAAGAUUCAUGAAGUCUAACUUUGAUAGUCAAACUUUUAAUUGGAUCUCAACGUUAAUUGUCUUUUUUGCCAUUAAAGGGGGUCUACAAACCCCUCAACUCCCUGGCUAUUAGUAUUGUAUUGUUUAGAAAAAUUGAUCAGACACAAUUUUUACAAUUUUGUUAAGAUCUUCUCUUUGUGCUCAAUAUUAUUGAUUUGUGUGUACUAACAUCACUUUCAACACUCUUAGGCUAUUUCGUAGCAGUUAGUUUUGAUUGAUGUUGGAAGCUGGAGUAAACCACCAACCUUCUGUAAUUAAAAUUGUAGUCAAGCGUGAUUCAACUCACAACAUCAGUGUUGACAGGCUAGUGAUACAGUAAUUCAACUACUUUGACCACUAAGCCACUGAUUUCUAUCAACAAGCUAUUUAUAAUAAAAGUCAUGAAAUAUGGGAAAUUAUUUAAUAUUCUUCAGAAGUUCAGAUUUCAUUUGUUAAAAAUGCAAUCACUCUAAUUAGGAAAUCCGAUUUGAUCAUUUUAAUGUACAUCUAUUCUAGCUUGUAUGCAACUUUGAAGAAAUAGUGUUAGUCUAAAGUGAUAUCUGUGUGUUCUAUUACAGAAAAUACCUCAGAAAUUAAGAGAUACACUACUGGUAUAUCAUUUGCAGUUAUAACAGAUGUCAUGCUUUGGAUCAUGUUUGUCAUCAUAAAAAAUAUUAAUUGCUUAGUAUUUAAUAAUCAUAUUUAUUGUGUA